rnacentral:lncRNA from 1 species
UUUAAUGUUGAUAAACCCUAAAGUUCUCAAUAUAUAUAUACUCAUACCAAUGUUUGAGGGACACGACAAGAGACCAAAAAAAGACCUACACGCGAUGCACUAGUACCUAAGGAUAUAUCGCCAUUUGUUGGACCCCAACGUCUCUCUCUCUCUCUCUGAGACAAAAGUGAGAAAAAAAUAAUAAUAAAAAGAGAGUUUGGUCUCUCUCUCAGAAACAAAAACAAAAGCAGAGCAACGUUUUUCUGUUCUUCUUUUUCGAAGAACUCAUCACUUGCUUUACCCACCCUUUUUUCUCAUCUUCACUUCAACCGCCACCCUUGCACUUAAAACACUAUCAACACCUUCUCUCUGAAGGCAGCCUACCCUUCAAUCAUUUCAAUCUCUUACCUCCUUCACCCGCUGUACACCAUAACCACACACAAAUCAUUUCUUUUUUUUCAUAACACCUCCACAUAUAUCAACUUCU